CUCUCUCUCUUUCUUUCUUUCUUUCUCUCUCUCAUUCUCUCUCUCUCUCUCUCUCUCUCUCUCUCUCUCUCUUUCUUUCAUGUUGAAGAUACAUCUGGACCACCAUCAAGAUCGUCCGUAUCAGGUUUACAUCCCCACCUCCACCAUCAAAAUACAAUCGUCGGUAUCAGUUAUUUGUGAAGAUAAGGAGCUUCAAGUCUACUGACAGAAGUAGUUUUAACUAAGCUUAAUCUUGAUAAGGAUAUGAAGUCGUUGCUUGAUUGAAAAGAAAAAGGUCGUGUUGCUGAUAAAUCUAAAGGAAAGUUUACUGUUCAUAAUGUUGUUACAGGUGCAUCUUUCCAAAAAACCGAUCAGGUUAUGUUUUCUUAUUUAUUAGCUUAUGAAAUUCCCCUUUUUGUUAUGUUGUUUUGAUAUGAGAACCAUUUUUGGAGUUACUGUUAUAAAUUUUGCAAAUUAAUGAGUUUCUUGCUCUAGCUUUCUGGAUUUUAUGAACUUGCUUAUGUUUUGUGGUUACUUGUUGAGUAGAUUUUUUUAUGAAGACCAAGUGUUCGAUGAAAUGCCUCAAUGAAAAAAAUCCACAAAUAAAUCAAGAACAAGGUUCUAGGAAAGGAAAGGAUCCAUCUUCCUCAUGCUAGCUAAUUUUCAAGAUCAAGGAGGUCACCAGUAGACAGGUACACUAGACCAGGUUUUGAGAAGACGGAGCAUGUUCAAGACUCGUAUUUUAUUUUGAUAUUUACAUUUUUGGUGUCUUACAAAUACAUUGAGAACACACUUGUAUUAACUAUAUUAUUAAUGCAAUUGAUAAUGUUGUUGCUUGUUUUA